AAGUCCAUGACACAUGUGUACAAAACUUUCAUUGUGAUAUUAGUGUCAUAAUAAUAAUAUAUAACAACAUACAACAGAGCAACCAACAAGCUUAACACCUGAGAAAAGAUAGGUGCCUCCCAGAAGUAACAAACAUGAGUACUUGAUUACCUAGGGCACACAUAGCACAGACCAAGAUAUAAUCGCCUUGAAAGUGGAUGAAAAGAAUGCAGCUGAAACAUUUAUCAAAUUAUUGGAGGCCAAAUGUGAACACUAGUGAAGAUCAACUGUGGUUGGAGAAAUGAAGAACAGCAAAACUCUAACCCCGGGACAAGUACAAGAUUACUGAGAAAGCUUCACCCCACAAACUCAGGGGCACUAAGACUGAGGCUGAGCCGUAACGACAGAAUUUUCCCACUGUUAAAGCAAAUAAAUAUGGCCUGAGAAGGAUUUCUAUAUUUGAGUCCUUGUGGACUAACUGCAACCUAGCUUAACAGGUAAACAAGAUUGAAAACCCAAUUUAGGAGUAUGUGCCUGUAAUUAUAGCUGAGUCUUGGCCAAUUGCAGUAUAACAGAA
rnacentral:lncRNA from 1 species